rnacentral:rRNA from 1 species
UACGUAGGGGGCAAGCGUUGUCCGGAAUUAUUGGGCGUAAAGCGCGCGCAGGCGGUUCUUUAAGUCUGGUGUCUAAGUGCGGGGCUCAACCCCGUGAUGCACUGGAAACUGGGGAACUUGAGUGUAGGAGAGGAAAGUGGAAUUCCACGUGUAGCGGUGGAAAUGCGUAGAGAUGUGGAGGAACACCAGUGGCGAAGGCGACUU